GACGAACGCUGGCGGCGUGCUUAAUACAUGCAAGUCAACUGAAUCUGAGGUAGCAAUAUUUCAGAGGAGGUGGCGCACGGGUGAGUAACACGUAGGUAAUCUGCCUUUAGGUCUGACAUAAUUCCGCGAAAGCGGGACUAAUAUCAGAUGAUGCAGCGGCUCGACAUCGAGACAGUUGUUAAACCUUCGGGGCCUAAAGAUGAGCCUGCGCCUGAUUAGGUAGUUGGCGGAGUAAAAGCCCACCAAGCCAUCGAUCAGUAGCUGGUCUGAGAGGAUGAUCAGCCACACUGGAACUGAGACACGGUCCAGACUCCUACGGGAGGCAGCAGUAAGGAAUAUUGCUCAAUGGGAGAAAUCCUGAAGCAGCAACGCCGCGUGGAGGAUGAAAUACUUUUGUAUGUAAACCCCUGUAAGAAGGGAAAAAUAUGCGAUUUUAUCGCGUUGAUUGUACCUUCAGAGUAAGCCCCGGCUAACUACGUGCCAGCAGCCGCGGUAAUACGUAGGGGGCGAGAGUUGUCCGGAUUUACUGGGUGUAAAGGGUGCUCAGGUGGAUUUGUAAGUCAGAGGUGAAAUCCCAAAGCUUAACUUUGGAGCUGCCUUUGAUACUGCAAGUCUUGAGUUUGAGAGAGGGUAAUGGAAUAUCUGGUGUAGCAGUGAAAUGCGUAGACAUCAGAUAGAACACCAAUGGCGAAGGCAGUUACCUGGCUCAAAACUGACGCUAAAGCACGAAAGUGUGGGGAGCAAACAGGAUUAGAUACCCUGGUAGUCCACACCCUAAACGAUGAAUACUAGAUGUUGGUCUUUUUAAAGAUCAGUAUCCAAGCUAACGCAUUAAGUAUUCCACCUGGGAAGUACAAUCGCAAGGUUGAAACUCAAAGGAAUUGACGGGGGCCCGCACAAGCAGUGGAGCAUGUGGUUUAAUUCGACGCAACGCGAAGAACCUUACCUAGGCUUGAAACGCAAGUUAAUCCUGAUGAAAGUCGGAGUGCCGCAAGGCGAACUUGUACAGGUGCUGCAUGGCUGUCGUCAGCU
rnacentral:rRNA from 1 species